GAUGAAGAACGUAGCGAAAUGCGAUAAGUAAUGUGAAUUGCAGAAUUCAGUGAAUCAUCGAAUCUUUGAACGCACCUUGCGCUCCUUGGUAUUCCGAGGAGCAUGCCUGUUUGAGUGUCAUUAAAUUCUCAACCAUUAUCAACUUUUGCUGAUAAUGGCUUGGAUGUGGGGGUCUAUUUUGCUGGCUUCUCAGAUAGUCAGCUCCCCUUAAAUGCAUUAGCCGGUGCCCCGCGUGGACUGUCUAUUGGUGUGAUAAUUAUCUACGCUAUGGACAUCUGCAAUCAUAUGGGUUUGCGCUGCUUCUAACAGUCUGUUGAUUCAGACAAUACAUGACAAUUUGACCUCAAAUCAGGUAGGACUACCCGCUGAACUUAAGCAUAUCAAUAAGCGGAGGA
rnacentral:misc_RNA from 1 species